rnacentral:rRNA from 1 species
UACGAAGGGGGCUAGCGUUGCUCGGAAUCACUGGGCGUAAAGCGCACGUAGGCGGAUGUGUCAGUCAGGGGUGAAAUCCCGGAGCUCAACUUCGGAACUGCCCUUGAUACAGCACGUCUUGAGUCCGAUAGAGGUGGGUGGAAUUCCUAGUGUAGAGGUGAAAUUCGUAGAUAUUAGGAAGAACACCAGUGGCGAAGGCGGCUCACUGGCCCGGUACUGACGCUGAGGUGCGAAAGCGUGGGGAGCAAACAGG